UGCAUCGGCCGGGAAUCGAACCCGGUCGCCCGCGUGGCAGGCGAGCAUUCUACCACUGAACCACCGAUGC
rnacentral:tRNA from 1 species